GGGACACGUGGUAUCCUGUCUGAAUAUGGGGGGACCAUCCUCCAAGGCUAAAUACUCCUGACUGACCGAUAGUGAACCAGUACCGUGAGGGAAAGGCGAAAAGAACCCCGGCGAGGGGAGUGAAAAAGAACCUGAAACCGUGUACGUACAAGCAGUGGGAGCACGCUUCGGCGUGUGACUGCGUACCUUUUGUAUAAUGGGUCAGCGACUUAUAUUCUGUAGCAAGGUUAACCGAAUAGGGGAGCCGAAGGGAAACCGAGUCUUAACUGGGCGUUAAGUUGCAGGGUAUAGACCCGAAACCCGGUGAUCUAGCCAUGGGCAGGUUGAAGGUUGGGUAACACUAACUGGAGGACCGAACCGACUAAUGUUGAAAAAUUAGCGGAUGACUUGUGGCUGGGGGUGAAAGGCCAAUCAAACCGGGAGAUAGCUGGUUCUCCCCGAAAGCUAUUUAGGUAGCGCCUCGUGAAUUCAUCUCCGGGGGUAGAGCACUGUUUCGGCAAGGGGGUCAUCCCGACUUACCAACCCGAUGCAAACUGCGAAUACCGGAGAAUGUUAUCACGGGAGACACACGGCGGGUGCUAACGUCCGUCGUGAAGAGGGAAACAACCCAGACCGCCAGCUAAGGUCCCAAAGUCAUGGUUAAGUGGGAAACGAUGUGGGAAGGCCCAGACAGCCAGGAUGUUGGCUUAGAAGCAGCCAUCAUUUAAAGAAAGCGUAAUAGCUCACUGGUCGAGUCGGCCUGCGCGGAAGAUGUAACGGGGCUAAACCAUGCACCGAAGCUGCGGCAGCGACGCUGAUGCGUUGUUGGGUA
rnacentral:rRNA from 1 species